UUGGAAACCUAGGGGUGGCACGGUAACGGCCGGGCCUGAGAGCAUACCCUCGAACCUGAUCUCGGUCAUGCGAGCGCAGGGAAGGUUUCAGCGGUUUUA
rnacentral:ncRNA from 2 species